CCCGGUGAUCUAGCCAUGGGCAGGUUGAAGGGUGGGUAACACUAACUGGAGGACCGAACCGACUAAUGUUGAAAAAUUAGCGGAUGACCUGUGGCUGGGGGUGAAAGACCAAUCAAACCGGGAGAUAGAUGGUUCUCCCCGAAAGCUAUUUAGGUAGCGCCUCGUGAACUCAUCUUCGGGGGUAGAGCACUGUUUCGGCUAGGGGGCCAUCCCGGCUUACCAACCCGAUGCAAACUACGAAUACCGAAGAAUGUUAUCACGGGAUACACACUGCGGGUGCUAACGUCCGUCGUGAAGAGGGAAACAACCCAGACCGCCAGCUAAGGUCCCAAAGUCAUGGUUAAGUGGGAAACGAUGUGGGAAGGCACAGACAGCCAGGAUGUUGGCUUAGAAGCAGCCAUCAUUUAAAGAAAGCGUAAUAGCUCACUGGUCGAGUCGGCCUGCGCGGAAGAUGUAACGGGGCUAAACCAUGCACCGAAGCUGCGGCAGCGACACUAUGUGUUGUUGGGUAGGGGAGCGUUCUGUAAGCCGUUGAAGGUGUGCUGUGAGGCAUGCUGGAGGUAUCAGAAGUGCGAAUGCUGACAUAAGUAACGAUAAAGCGGGUGAAAAGCCCGCUCGCCGGAAGACCAAGGGUUCCUGUCCAACGUUAAUCGGGGCAGGGUGAGUCGACCCCUAAGGCGAGGCCGAAAGGCGUAGUCGAUGGGAAACAGGUUAAUAUUCCUGUACUUGGUGUUACUGCGAAGGGGGGACGGAGAAGGCUAUGUCAGCCGGGCGACGGUUGUCCCGGUUUAAGA
rnacentral:rRNA from 1 species